GGGUCAGUAGGUUGGUCGUGCCACCGGUACGUACUGGUCUCACUGAUUCCUCCUUCCUGAAGAACCGUAAUGCCAUUAAUUUGGUGUUGCUGGGAAACAGGACUGUUACUUUGAAAAAAUUAGAGUGUUUAAAGCAAGCUAUCGCUUGAAUACAUUAGCAUGGAAUAAUGAAAUAGGACGAUCGAUCCUAUUUUGUUGGUUUCUAGGAUUGACGUA
rnacentral:rRNA from 1 species